AUUUAUCUGCAGGGAGCAGUUGUCAUUAACGCUACCUUAUUAUGUUGCAUGCAUAGUAAUUUGUUUUAUAAAUGGCCCUACAGAAAUGAAUGGACCUACUCAGGGAAGAUUUUACCGAUGACUGCAAGAGUUCUAAGGCCAAGUCCGUGCUGAAACACCACCCCAUCUAACAAAAACCCCUUGGUGCAAAGGGUAAAGCCUCUUCUCAAACUUCAGACAUUUUUAUAUUUCACAGAGAUGCAACUAAAACUAAAACCACAUCUACUGUGCUUCUGGAGGACAGAAAGGGCCUGGAGGACACAAGGGGGGACUGUGUUAACACUUGGAGAUACUUAGCAUGCGAGAAAUUGGUCUGAGGAAGCUGCAAUCUGAACAGCAAGAGGGAGAGACAGACAGGCAGACAGACCUGACAGAACUGCUUUACAAAGGUUUUUCUCUUAAAAGGUGAUGGUGUUUCAUGCUGUGGUGAAGUUGUGUGUCUCCUGGCAAACAAGAAGAGAUCUAAGUAAACCAGCCAGACAAAUCUUGGGUUAAAAGUGUGGGGAGGAUUAGGUCACUCUGUUCUUCUUUCAAGCUCAGGAGUUAUUAUAGCUUUCUGUACACAGGGAUGAGUGAGCUCCGGGGAACGAAUAAGAACCCAUUUUGUGCAGACAAGUGGUAAGAGAUGGAUGAAGAUGAAGAAUGAGCAGAAGCAUAAUUCACCAGCAUACCUGAUGGCAUAAUGACAUUGAUGUUUCUUGGCUCAUAUAUCACCCCAGGUGCAGAUAUAUGUCAUCUCAUUCCUGUCCAGCACAAUGGAGAGUCCGUGAGGGAUAUUAUGACUUUUUAAGUCACUGUCUCUCAGCCAGGUUGCUUUGGGGCCAAUGCAAUUACAUGCUCUUCCGCCUGUGGGCUUGAUAGCAAACUGACACUCCCGCCCUCAGCUAGAGGAGCGAUCGGUUGAGGAUGACAGUGUUGCAUAAACAGUUAAGUUAGUCCUGUGUCUUGUCUGUCCCGCGGUGCUGUAUCAGCUUCACCUCUGCUGGAGUGCAGCCUGUGAGCCCCUGUGGCUAAUGCUACCUUUCUCAAAUUGCUGGGAUGCAGGCAUCAAAUACCUAGUACCUCCUACAAGGCGUAAAUCUAGAUUUUCCCUCGGUAUCACAAAUAUGCAGAUCUAGUCUGCACUUUCCAAACGCGGCAGACGAAAAACUUGUCUAGAUACUGAACAUCAAGCUGUUGACAAGUAAGAAGGGCAGGCUGAAUUUCAGAUACUCUUAGAAGAUCUUAAAUGUUCCCUAGGGGUCUGACCUUACGUUCCUUACCCCUGUAAAUUUUUAUUUUUUUUUUUCUCCUAAUGGACCCAUGUGGAACUAUGCCUAGGGAAAAUGCACAUGGCUAAGAGUUGCAGGACCAAGACUAUAUUUUUUGUGACACAAUGUAAUGUUGCCAGUAGGCCACAUCAACACAUAUAAGAAAUGGAAAAUCCUGAUGUAUAUUGAGCAUUGAAUUUUCACAGUAAAUCAACAAAUCUAAGUAAAGUCAGAUCUCAAUUACCCGCACAAGAUGCAGUCUUGUUGAUGUUAUUCAGAACAUGCAUUUUAUUGCCUUGCAAACAUCUGAAAGGAAUUCAGUUUUCAACAACUUUAGGCUUCGGUAUAGCAUAAUGGCUUAGUUUUGUAACAACAGGCUGAAAUAUUGACUGUCACGGAAUUGACUGUCAAACUGAACUUUGUGGGUUUUGUUUUGUUUACAGAUUAAAACUGUCUUCUCAUUUUCAGCUCUGCAUACAAUACCUGCGCACUGAGAAACACAGUGUGAAAACUGUCUGUGUACUGCAACAUGAAAAAGACUGCUCCUAGAUACUGUGAUUAAAUGUAGGACUACAAAGCCACAGGUGCAAGCCACGUGGGACAGCGUGGCUUAUCUGCAAUAUAAGGCAUUUCUUCUACCUUUGAUGUCUGGACAUGAAAAGAAAGUGGCACUGAAGUAUAAUUUUAAAACAAUCUAAAUGUGUUACCACAGACAACAGCAUUGUUUGAAUAUGUAAUUAAUUUUGCUGCAAAACUCUAAUAUUAACAAAUAGACCCCUUUAAAUGUCUCAGGAAUGCAGUCGCAUGAGCAGCUCUUGGAAACAAGGUACAAGUGCUAUUCUUCCAUUGCAACUCCUGGAACAUCAGUUGUGAUAUAAUACAUGAGUCUCAAAAAGUAAAUACAAAGCUGAUAUUGCAUCAUGUAGUUGAGCUUUUAUUUAUAGAAAUAAUUAGAAAGCUAAUGAUAAAAAUACUCAUACGUAUAUGAAAGGUCACUGACAGAAAUGGAAGUUUCACUUGUUUUGAGGAGCAAUCACCGAAUAAAAUGUCAUUCUUCCUGCCUGA